UACGAGAGGCCCAAACGUUAUUCGGAAUUACUGGGUUUAAAGGGUGCGUAGGCGGCUUUGUAAGUCAGUGGUGAAAUAUGGCAGCUCAACUGUCAAGGUGCCAUUGAUACUGCAGAGCUUGAGUACAGAUGAGGUAGGCGGAAUUGACGGUGUAGCGGUGAAAUGCUUAGAUAUCGUCAAGAACACCUAUAGCGAAGGCAGCUUACUAGGCUGUAACUGACGCUGAGGCACGAAAGUGUGGGGAUCAAACAGG
rnacentral:rRNA from 1 species